CAGCAGCCGCGGUAAUACGAAGGGGGCUAGCGUUGUUCGGAAUUACUGGGCGUAAAGGGCGCGUAGGCGGCCAUUCAAGUUAGAUGUGAAAGCCCUGGGCUCAACCUAGGAAUUGCAUUUGAUACUGUUUGGCUUGAGUUCGGGAGAGGUGAGUGGAAUUCCCAGUGUAGAGGUGAAAUUCGUAGAUAUUGGGAAGAACACCAGUGGCGAAGGCGGCUCACUGGACCGACACUGACGCUGAGGCGUGAAAGCGUGGGGAGCAAACAGGAUUAGAUACCCGGGUAGUCCCUGUCUCUUAUAC
rnacentral:rRNA from 1 species